rnacentral:tRNA from 1 species
UCCCUAGUGGCUCAGCUGGUAAAGAAUCCGCCUGCAAUGCGGGAGGCCUGGGUUCAAUCCCUGGGUUGGGAA